UACGGAGGAUCCGAGCGUUAUCCGGAUUUAUUGGGUUUAAAGGGAGCGUAGGCGGGUUGUUAAGUCAGUUGUGAAAGUUUGCGGCUCAACCGUAAAAUUGCAGUUGAUACUGGCAUCCUUGAGUACAGUAGAGGUAGGCGGAAUUCGUGGUGUAGCGGUGAAAUGCUUAGAUAUCCCGAAGAACUCCGAUUCGAAGGCAGCCUGCUGGACUGUAACUGACGCUGAUGCUCGAAGGUGUGGGUAUCAAACAGG
rnacentral:rRNA from 1 species